rnacentral:rRNA from 1 species
GACAUUUGGUGGAGACUGUGGAAGCCACCCGGUCCCGGCAGACCCCGGAAGGAGGCCACCUUCGCUGGUGCUGGAACAAAGCCGUCAAGGGUGAAGCCCGGUGCCAGACGUGU